UCCUUGGUGGUUCAGACAAUAAAAAGUCUGCCUGCAAUGCAGGAGACCCAGAUUCGAUCCCUGGUCUGGGAA
rnacentral:tRNA from 1 species